rnacentral:lncRNA from 1 species
AAGGUUCCCAGGAAGCUUACUUAUCCCCUUAAACCAUCCAGGUUCAAGAAAGAUCAGAUUCUUUACUUGGAGCCAAAAUCCCACAAAAGGCUCCAACGGCUAGUUUUUGAUUUCUUUCUUAGUUUUCGAUUUGUUUCCUUUUCUAUUUGUUUUAGAACGUUAGGACCUUUGUCUCUGAGCCUUAUAUAAGCUCCUAGACGUCCAUUGUAAAGAGCACCCUUAAUCACCAAGUUAAUAAAAAGUUUAUUCAGUUUUAUCAAAGUUGUUCUUUGUAUAAAAUAUCGGUCUUUAGGAUUCAAAGAGAGAUUCUUUGUUGUCUUAUUGAUUUCGUGAGUCUAGUUUGUUUGUGAAAAUCAAACAAGCUCAGUACACAGAUUGAGAGAGUCAAUCACUUCGAUCCAUCAUUCCACCAGAUUGAGAGAUUCAAUCAAACCUUCCUCUGCAAAUCCACUUCAGUUCAUCAUCUAAUCAAGCUGAGAGUGAUACACAUCCAGCAACUUGAUUCCAUCCUAUCCUUUGUUUAUUUAUCUUGUUUUAUUAUCUUUAUCAUCAUCAUCUCAUUGGUUUUCAUAUUUGUUUCUGUUUGCAUCAUAAAAACUAAAAACUCAUAAAAAUCGGUUCUCUUUGUUUUCAGGUUUAAACCUUGGUUCCACCAUUCAACCAAUUCGUGGGUUACCCCCCCUGUGCCUACAACAUUUUGGUAUCAGAGCUCAAGCUCCUGAAUCAGGUUACUCUAUCCUUGCAUCAUUCAUAUUUGUUUGCAUUUGUUUUUCAUCAUAAACCGAAAAUCCAUAAAAACUGUUUCUUUGUUUCAAGUUUUGUUUCUGCAUUUGUUUUGUGUUCUUGCUGUUCAUUCUGCUAAGUGCCACGAAAAAGAAAAGAAAAGUUUUGUUUGAUUCAUUUAAAAUCGAAAAUCCCAAAAGAAAAGUGUUUGCAUUUAUUAUUUCCAUAAAAAAAAAUCCCAUAAAAAGUUAUGUUUUGAAUUUGAUUCCUUUUCAUUUGCAUCCAUAAAUUUAAAAGCCAAAAGAAAUCAUCCUAGUUAUUGUUUCAUAUCAUAUUAGUUGGUCCAUUUCGUGAUUGCAUCAGAAAAGAAAAAUAAAAUAUUUUCAAGCUUAGUUUAUAUCUUUUGCAUAAGUGGUUUAAUUGUUUGCAUCAAAGAAAAUUUAAAAAAAAAAAAAACAAAUAUCAGCAUUAGUUUGCUUUCCAUAUUUUCUUUUCAUUUGUGUUUAUUAUCAUAUCAUAUUGAUUCAUUUCGUGUUUGCAUUGAGAAAACCAAAAGAAAAAUAAUUUUUGCAUACUUUAUUUCAUUUCGGUUCAUAAUUGCAUAUUUUCUCGGUUUAGUUUAAAUUGCAUUGUGCACUUGAUUUAUUUUGGUUCGACCAGACCUUCCCAUAUCUUUCACUUGAUCUUUGAGAGUGUUUUCAGGAAGCCAUGGUAGGAGAAACACACGGCCACUGUCAGAUGGCCAAAGAGAACCAACAUUUGACAGCUUUGCAAGAGGUUGAUCUGAUUGCACAGCUGAGGAAAAGAAAGAAGGCACAAGGCCAACGUCCACAACCAGGAGAAAGGAGAUUUGGAGAUGCUCCAGAGGCUGUCUAUGUCGAGCCCAAGCCACCAGAUCCUUCAAGGAUCAAUCAAACCCCAACUUCUCAAACCCACAAACACCAUGUUGUUAAUUCUCAAUUUAAUUAUAACUCUUUUGCUGAUAAAAAUAAACUCUUUACAUUUUCAGGAAAAAGAGGUUAUCUAAUAUGGGAGAGGAACCUUGAUGAAUGGUUUCACUUCAACAACAUCUUGAAGGAAGAGAGGCUUGCUUAUGCCAUUGAACAACUUAGAGAUGAUGCCUUUGAAUGGUGGGUACAAGAAGAAGGUGAUAGAUGGUUUUACAAGGAGCCAACUAUCAAAACAUGGAGAGCUCUUAAGGAAGUCAUGAGAUAUGAGUUUGCACCAAAGAUUACAAGUUCUGAAAUCCAGGAACUAUAUCCAAGGAGGUAUCCAACUCAUGGUUCCAAAAAAGCAAGAAAAGAUGUACCAAAAGAAGGUCAUAGAAGCUUGAUCCAUCAAGACCAGAUUCGGCCAAACCAGAAGCCCACGGUUUUCUAUGAUCAAAACCAACCUAUUGAGGUCCCAAAGACCAUGGAGGAGAAGAAGUUUGUCAGCCAAGACACAUUGGCCAGACACAAAGAAAAACCAGACAAACUGAUUUUUCAAGAAAAGGCCAAGGUAAGUCCUAUACUUGAUAAAUUUGUUUGUAAAUCAUCUCCCACUGGUAUGAGUCACUUGUCUUUGUCCAAGAAUGAUAAGACAGGUCCUGAAGUCAAGAAAGACACGAUCUCAAAGUCCUUUUUGGAUUUAAAAGUUGUUCAUGAUUUAAGUCCAAGGAAUGAUGAGAUUUCAAACCCAAAGAAAGAAGAGGCAUCAAGCCAAGGUAAGUCUUCUAACUCUGAGGAUUUGAAAUAUCAGACAUGUUAUAGAUGUCAUAAGAAAGGACACUAUGCUAUAGUUUGUCCUACUAAGAAAGCAUUGAUAGAAACAUCACUAGAAGAGAAAACAGAAUUAUCUAUGAAAAGUGAUAGUUUUAUUCAAUCUGAUAUAUUGGUUCCAAAUUCUUGUAUAAUGCACUUGUCUUUGUCAAAGGGUGAUGUAACAGGAACUAAGGAGCAUAAAUUCAAAGGAGAGGAUCCACCAGGCGCCACACCUGUGAUGAACCAGAAGAUGGUUCAAGACACAAUGCAGUCCAUAUUGCUUAAAGAAGCAAAACCAAAACAAUACCAAGGUAAGGCUUUAGAAUCUCAAAAGAGAAUGAAAGCUGACUUGCUCUAUCUUGGUGCAGAUUAUACAGUUUCGAGGUCGAAACCUUGUCAAGAGGGAGGGGAUGAUGUGGUCAUCAGAUCAGCAACUGAACCGGAGGUCAACCCAAAGCCCUACUCAACCAGCCAAGGCGCAAACCAGGACAUACGUGCACUAAAAAUGCCAUAUCUUACAACCCAGGAGGGUUUAAAUCACGAGGAUAAUAUUUAUGGAUUCUACACUCAAGAAGAAGUCCAGGCCAAUUGGAAUUGGGCCAAAAUAUUCACGGAGCAAGAAGUUAUGAAUUUUACAACCCAGAGGUUUCUCAGCCGGUCCAUCUGCGAGUAUCCGACUUUAGAAGGAGAUUUAAGCUCAAGUAAGGAGCGGCCUGAAGCAAAGCCCAUCAUAGGAGUCAAGAGGAGUUUAUCAGCUUUCCAGAAAGCCCAAGAUCAGGAGAAAUGGCCACGGAAUUAUUAAGUUAUGAUCCAAUCUCCAAAACCGGUCAAACCAGUUCUACACUUGCCUCAAUUGGAAGCUAACCGGUUCAAUCAGCUUCAAACCAGACAUUGGCGACCAGGAGAUCAUUUAAACCAAUCAGGAGAUAUUCUAGGCAUCCAGGAGUAGUUCUACAAGUUCAUACCAUGCACCAGCAACCAUUGGAUCAGGAGGAUCCUCAUUUACUCAAACCUGCCUUAUUUGGAGCAAACCGACAUUAAUGUCCAACAGCUCUUUCCUCUUCAGUUUAGGCACGACCUCAGCACAUUCCAAGCAGUAAAGAAGGUUCCCAGGAAGCUUACUUAUCCCCUUAAACCAUCCAGGUUCAAGAAAGAUCAGAUUCUUUACUUGGAGCCAAAAUCCCACAAAAGGCUCCAACGGCUAGUUUUUGAUUUCUUUCUUAGUUUUCGAUUUGUUUCCUUUUCUAUUUGUUUUAGAACGUUAGGACCUUUGUCUCUGAGCCUUAUAUAAGCUCCUAGACGUCCAUUGUAAAGAGCACCC